GAUGAACGCUAGCGGCAGGCCUAAUACAUGCAAGUCGAACGGUGAUAGUAAUAUCAUAGUGGCGCACGGGUGCGUAACACGUAUGCAACCUACCUAUUAUUGGGGGAUAGCCUUUGGAAACGGAGAUUAAUACCGCAUAAUACGAUUGACUGGCAUCGGUUGAUUGUUAAAGCUUCGGCGAUAAUAGAUGGGCAUGCGUCCAAUUAGUUAGUUGGUGAGGUAAUGGCUCACCAAGACGAUGAUUGGUAGGGGAUCUGAGAGGAUAAUCCCCCACACUGGCACUGAGAUACGGGCCAGACUCCUACGGGAGGCAGCAGUAGGGAAUAUUGGGCAAUGGAGGGAACUCUGACCCAGCCAUGCCGCGUGCAGGAAGAAGGCGUUAUGCGUUGUAAACUGCUUUUUUAUAGGAAGAAGGAUCUCUUGCGAGAGAAGGUGACGGUACUAUAAGAAUAAGCACCGGCUAACUCCGUGCCAGCAGCCGCAGUAAGAC
rnacentral:rRNA from 1 species